rnacentral:lncRNA from 1 species
CUGUGUGUCCUAUUUUUUAAAUGGCCACUAGGCUAUGGCAGUUCAGCCCAGCCAGCUCUGUACCAGGCCAUGGAUGAAUUCAUGAUCUAUGGCCUGAUGAGAGGUCGUUGUGCUUCUCCCUGGGGCCAGGCCACUGUAUGCAAGACUUCCCACCCUGCAGAACUGUGGGCUUGUCCACUUUUCUCCCUAAAGUGGCUCUGAGAUGCUGCAUAUUUGUAGCAGUCUGGAGGAAGCUCUUCCUGAAACCAGCCACAUUCUAGGAUCUUCCCCAUAAUGGACUUUCUCCUAAGCCUAGGCCAGCAAAUCAGCUGACUUUCUCAUCAAUCUCUUCUCAUCAACAGGCUUUCUUACCCUUUCUUUGGGAUAUGCUUCCUUCCAGCCAGAGACCUCACACCCUCCUCAGCCUGAGGUUCCAUGUGAUCCACCUAGGGAUCUCCCAACUUGUCUUAGAUUCACACAGCUGCUUGAUAUCUCUUCCCAGAGGAGCUGGGUGGGAAUUCUCUCCCUGCUUCCCCAAACUCUUGUCUCUCCCAAUCCAGGGCUCAUUCUACUGCUGCAGGUGAGAUACAAGGUCUGGUUUGGGGCCUCAAAACCACAAAGCAACGCAGCUCCUGAAGUUGUCCAGCAUCAGGUUCUAGUAGAAGGCCCUGUGGUCCAGGUCAGAUGCUCUACUCUUCUCUUAACAAGUGCACGGCCAUGUCCUCAAAGGUCACUGGCUCCUGAAACACAGGCAGCUCCAGGACUGGCCUCUCAUGUUUGUAGGAUCAGCAGUGGCCACACCCUGUCAGGAAAUCUCAG